GACGAACGCGGCGGCGUGCCUAAUACAUGCAAGUCGAGCGAAGUUUUUCUGGUGCUUGCACCGGAAAAACUUAGCGGCGAACGGGUGAGUAACACGUAAAGAACCUGCCUCAUAGACUGGGACAACUAUUGGAAACGAUAGCUAAUACCGGAUAACAGCAUUAACUGCAUGGUUGAUGUUUAAAAGUUGGUUUUGCUAACACUAUGAGAUGGCUUUGCGGUGCAUCAGCUAGUUGGUGGGGUAAAGGCCUACCAAGGCGACGAUGCAUAGCCGACCUGAGAGGGUGAUCGGCCACACUGGGACUGAGACACGGCCCAGACUCCUACGGGAGGCAGCAGUAGGGAAUCUUCCGCAAUGGGCGAAAGCCUGACGGGAGCAAACGCCGCGUGAGUGAAAGAAAGGGAUUUUCGGUUUCGUAAAAGCUUCUGGUU
rnacentral:rRNA from 1 species